rnacentral:rRNA from 1 species
AUCGAACGCUGGCGGCAGGCCUAACACAUGCAAGUCGAACGAGUGGCGGACGGGUGAGUAAUGUCUGGGAAACUGCCUGAUGGAGGGGUAUAACUACUGGAACCGGUAGCUAAUACCGCAUACCAUCGGAUGUGCCCAGAGGGGAUGAGCUAGUAGGUGGGGUAAAGGCUCACCUAGGCGACGAUCCCGAGCUGGUCUGAGAGGGUGACCAGCCACACUGGGACUGAGACACGGCCCAGAAUCCGACGGGAGGCAGCAGGGGGGAAUAGUGCACAAUGGGCGCAAGGCUGACACAGCCAUGCCGCGUGUAUGAAGAAGGCCUUCGGGUUGUAAAGUACUUUCAGCGGGGAGGCGUUACCCGCAGAAGAAGCACCGGCUAACUCCGUGCCAGCAGCCGCGGUAAUAC